rnacentral:rRNA from 1 species
CAAUAAGCGGAGGAAAAGAAACCAACAGGGAUUGCCCCAGUAACGGCGAGUGAAGCGGCAACAGCUCAAAUUUGAAAUCUGGCCCCCCCCGCGGGGGCCCGAGUUGUACUUUGGAGAGGAUGCUUUGGGCGCGGCGCCGGCCGAGUUCCCUGGAACGGGACGCCAGAGAGGGUGAGAGCCCCGUACGGCCGGACGCCCAGCCCGUGCAAAGCUCCUUCGACGAGUCGAGUAGUUUGGGAAUGCUGCUCAAAACGGGAGGUAAAUUUCUUCUAAAGCUAAAUACCGGCCAGAGACCGAUAGCGCACAAGUAGAGUGAUCGAAAGAUGAAAAGCACUUUGAAAAGAGGGUUAAACAGCACGUGAAAUUGUUGAAAGGGAAGCGCCUGGGGCCAGACGUGCGCCCCGCGGACCACCCGGCGCCCCGCGCGCCGGGGCACGCCGCGGGCGCGCAGGCCAGCAUCGGCUCCCGCCAGGGGGACAAGGGCCGCGGGAACGUAGCUCCUCCGGGAGCGUUAUAGCCCGCGGCGCCAUGCCCCUGGGGGGGCCGAGG